rnacentral:tRNA from 1 species
AAUUAUAUAAAUUUAUAUAAUUUUACUUUGAUAAAGUAAAUAAGAAAAAAAUUUCAAUAGAUA